rnacentral:rRNA from 1 species
AGGGUGCGAGCGUUAAUCGGAAUUACUGGGCGUAAAGCGCAUGCAGGUGGUUUGUUAAGUCAGAUGUGAAAGCCCGGGGCUCAACCUCGGAAUUGCAUUUGAAACUGGCAAACUAGAGUACUGUAGAGGGGGUAGGAAUUUCAGGUGUAGCGGUGAAAUGCGUAGAGAUCUGAAGGAAUACCGGUGGCGAAGGCGGCCCCCUGGACAGAUACUGACACUCAGAUGCGAAAGCGUGGGGAGCAAACAGGAUUAGAUACCCUGGUAG